rnacentral:rRNA from 1 species
AGUGAACGCUGGCGGUAGGCCUAACACAUGCAAGUCGAACGGCAGCACAGUAAGAGCUUGCUCUUACGGGUGGCGAGUGGCGGACGGGUGAGGAAUAUAUCGGAAUCUACUUUUUCGUGGGGGAUAACGUAGGGAAACUUACGCUAAUACCGCAUACGACCUACGGGUGAAAGCAUGGGAUCUUCGGACCUUGUGCGAUUGAAUGAGCCGAUGUCGGAUUAGCUAGUUGGCGGGGUAAAGGCCCACCAAGGCGACGAUCCGUAGCUGGUCUGAGAGGAUGAUCAGCCACACUGGAACUGAGACACGGUCCAGACUCCUACGGGAGGCAGCAGUGGGGAAUAUUGGACAAUGGGCGCAAGCCUGAUCCAGCCAUACCGCGUGGGUGAAGAAGGCCUUCGGGUUGUAAAGCCCUUUUGUUGGGAAAGAAAAGCAGCAGGUUAAUACCCCGCUGUUCUGACGGUACCCAAAGAAUAAGCACCGGCUAACUUCGUG